CAGCCGCCGCGGGAACACGGAGGGUGCAAGCGUUAAUCGGAAUUACUGGGCGUAAAGCGCGCGUAGGUGGUUUGUUAAGUUGGAUGUGAAAUUCCCGGGCUCAACCUGGGAACUGCAUUCAAAACUGACUGACUAGAGUAUGGUAGAGGGUGGUGGAAUUUCCUGUGUAGCGGUGAAAUGCGUAUAUAUAGGAAGGAACACCAGUGGCGAAGGCGACCACCUGGACUAAUACUGACACUGAGGUGCGAAAGCGUGGGGAGCAAACAGGAUUAGAUACCCCAGUAGUCCAUGUCUCUUAUAC
rnacentral:rRNA from 1 species